rnacentral:misc_RNA from 1 species
AGGGUCAUUUUAGGAUACAGUUGAAUUCUUACAAAUGAUAAAAGAAAUGUCAUGAGCUUUUAAAUUAUAAAGAAUAGACUAACAAAUUUAAAAGGCUAGAAAAAAGUUUAAAGUUUAAUUAAAACAAUGGUUAAUUCACAGAGUUCUCACCAAUCAACCUGGUUACAAGACUUACAAGACAAAACAGGAAAUGAACAUGAAUACAAACAGACGAGACUUAUUAUUCAUUUGGCUUGAUUAAUAUAAAUUAAUUAGAGAGAGCGGGGG